ACCACCACUAAUUUAUUCACUUUUUUUAACUUCUAGUUCACUUAUAUUAUUCUUAUUUGUCCCCACUUUUUCCUUCUUUUUAUAAACUCUCCAUCUUCCUUUCCUUAGCCAUCCUUUAUUCCUAACUCCAAACAACAACAAAGUAACUUAACUCUUACAAAAAUGGCAUCAUAAGAGUUUGAGAAGAAGAACAGUACCAAUAUGUAUGUAGAACAAUCAGCACAAGGACUAGAAAAUGGAGAAGUUCAGAAAAAUGUUGAUGAUGAUGGGCGUGAAAAAAGAAAAGGGACUGUGCUAACGGCGAGUUCACAUAUAAUCACCGCGGUGAUUGGGUCAGGUGUGCUAUCACUAGCAUGGGCAACAACUCAGUUAGGAGUUCGACACUUUUGUAACAAAAAAAAUAAUAAUUUUGAAACCAAACUAACACAUUAAAAAAGAAGAAGAACCAAAUUAGGCUUCACGCACAGAUUCUGUGCGUGAAAGGGCCAAAGUGUACUUUUACAGUUUGGCCCUUUCACACACAGAAUCUGUGCGUGAAACCUUUCCCUAAAACCCCCGACCCCAACACAUGCAUUCUCUUUUCUUUCAUUUCCUCCAUCUUCACCCUUUCAACACACUUUUGCACUUUCAAAAACAUGUCUCAAAGUUUUGAAACUUCAAUGUUUGCUAUACAACCCGAUAUUUGUGAAUGUAGUUAUUACUGUAAACUAAAAACAUCAAAGACCCAAGAUAAUCCGAGUCACCGUUUUUGGCGUUGUAAAGUGCCCGAAGAUAUGGGCGGUUGCAAACACUUUCGGUGGGAAGAUAGCAUUCACGUGGAUAAAAUAGUGGCGGCGAAGUUUAAAAAUUCACUCUUGGUUAGAGAUACCGCGACUUCACGUAUCUCUAGAGAUACCGCUAAGUUGGACUAGCAAUUUAAUCUUGUGGAAGCUGAAGAAAAAAUUGAACGUUUGGAGGUGUUGCUCACCGAUUCCGAAAAAAAAUGAAUUUUGCUGAAGACUAAACUUAGAGAGGCUCAACAUGAGAAAAUAGCUUUGAAAGAAAAACUUAAAUUGUGGAAGAUUAUUUGUGCUAUCUUGUUGUUGUUCAUUAUUUAUAUGUAUUUUGUUUAUUAAGUUUAAUAUUUCUAUGGAUUAUGUUUUUUACUAGUUGUACCUUUUCCCCUAUAAUGUAAUCCGCACCCUUUAUG